UACGUAGGGUGCGAGCGUUAAUCGGAAUUACUGGGCGUAAAGCGUGCGCAGGCGGUUCGUUGUGUCGGUGGUGAAAUCCCCGGGCUUAACCUGGGAAUGGCCAUGGAAACUGGCGAACUGGAGUGCGGCAGAGGGGGGUGGAAUUCCGAGUGUAGAGGUGAAAUUCGUAGAUAUUCGGAGGAACACCAGAAGCGAAGGCGGCUCACUGGCCCGAGACUGACGCUGAGGCGCGAAAGCGUGGGGAGCAAACAGG
rnacentral:rRNA from 1 species